rnacentral:tRNA from 1 species
AAGUACUACCAAGGUAUCCGAAUUGAUUCCUUACGCAGACCUCCCCUAUCACAAAAUUGAGAUGAGGAAGUAGC